GAAGGAGUGAAAACUGAGAAUGAUCACAUCAACCUGAAGGUAGCCGGGCAGGAUGGGUCAGUUGUCCAGUUCAAAAUUAAGCGGCACACACCUCUGAACAAAUUAAUGAAGGCGUAUUGUGAGAGACAGGGCUUGUCGAUGAGACAGAUUCGAUUCAGAUUUGAUGGACAACCAAUUAAUGAGACUGAUACCCCUGCACAGCUGGAGAUGGAGGACGAAGACACAAUCGAUGUGUUCCAGCAGCAGACAGGGGGAGCGUGUUAGGCGCGCGGGCCGGAGUCCCCCGGGUCUUCCUCGGUCUUGGGAUAGGGAAUUGUGGGAUGCUUCUGCCCUCGCAGAGGAUACAGAUCCAAGCCCUUCUCCUCUCUCUGACUCGCCGUGCACAGUCUGUGCGACUCCCGACGAUCUUUGCGGAGACGACGCGCCCCCUCGAAUUGGGCCACUGUGGAAUGUUCUCUUUGCUGAAGUAAAAGAUUCUUGCCUGUUUGUCCUCACUUUCCUUCCUUCUGUCACCCCCUUUGCUUCGGGGGCUGGGGUGCUGGCCCCCUGCGCUUGGGAUGCUUUCUUGGCUACAUCGUCUAAUCAUGUAAAUAACUCCAUCUGGUCACGGCAGUGGGAGGAGGGGGAAGCCUGUGCGCUGUCAUCAGCUGAAUCAGGAUCGUUGGUGCUGAUCAACCUGCCAGGCUCCUCGGAGGAGGCCAGAGCGGGGUGGGGAAGGGGCGACCUCCAGGGUUACAGAAGCUCUGGCAGGUGA
rnacentral:lncRNA from 1 species